rnacentral:rRNA from 1 species
AUUGAACGCUGGCGGCAUGCCUUACACAUGCAAGUCGAACGGUAACGGGCCUUCGGGUGCCGACGAGUGGCGAACGGGUGAGUAAUGUAUCGGAACGUACCUUUCAGUGGGGGAUAACGUAGCGAAAGUUACGCUAAUACCGCAUAUUCUGUGAGCAGGAAAGCAGGGGAUCGCAAGACCUUGCGCUGAUUGAGCGGCCGAUAUCAGAUUAGCUAGUUGGUGAGGUAAAGGCUCACCAAGGCGACGAUCUGUAGCGGGUCUGAGUGGAUGAUCCGCCACACUGGAACGGAGACACGGUCCAGACUCCUACGGGAGGCAGCAGUGGGGAAUUUUGGACAAUGGGGGCAACCCUGAUCCAGCCAUGCCGCGUGAGUGAAGAAGGCCUUCGGGUUGUAAACCGCUGUCAGGAGGGACGAAGCCACUCGGGUGAACAGCCUAGAGGGUGACGGUACCUCCAGAGGAAGCCCCGGCUAACUACGUGCCAGCAGCCGCGGUAAUAC